UGUUGGGAACUUUUCCACUGUGCUGGAGUUGUAGACAUGUUUUUUGUCAAGGACACCAGGAAAUGCUCAGCAAAGGAAAAGAUCUUGGAGCAUUUUGGAGCAGCCUUCCCAGCACAGAGAGUACAGGCUGGCCUGAUUCAUUUACCCUGGUUCUGGAAAUACUGAGCUGUGCAGGAGGAGAGGAACAUGUAGCCGUGGCAAGCCUUAGAGUUGCUGAAGUUGUGUGGAAGGCAAAGUGAAUUGCAAAGCCCUGUCUCAGCACCAAAGGCCCCAGGGAAGCUGCAGAGCCAUGUGGAGAGAGUUAUGGUGUUUGCUUCUGAUGUGCCUGUCCAGGGCGGGCUGAGGUCUCUGGAAGUGCAAGAGUUUCUGACCGUCAUGGCAGCAGAAGAAAGGCUGGAAACACAAUAAAAUGCAUCCUCGCCAUUUUUAAAAUAUCUUGGAUAUGCUGAAUGUUAUGAAAAAGCAUCAUAACAAUCAGUUUCUCAGUAGUGCUCAUCCACAGAAGCCAGCUGCUAACAAAUUUUGCCCUACAACAGGAAAAGCUGCCAGAGAAAGACUUAUGACAGGAGGGGAGGUUGUUUGUCCCUGCAUUGGAUGCCUGUGUUCAAUGUCCAGUAUGGGUUCUCCUGUUGGAACAAUAACUUUCAGGACUGGCAUAGGUGUGUUUGGACCCAGGUGACAGCAGAGAGGUGUAUUGGGCAGUCUGAUAUAUCUCAAAACACCUGUUAUUUACAAGCCUCUUUAAUUCUUGCCAGGCCCAUGCAGGGCUGGAGCACUUUCUCUGGCCACCUGUGUAGAGCAAGCCCAAGCUCUCAAGAAAACAGUAGGAAUUCAUAUCUGAGGAGCCAGCUGAUGGCACAGGGAAACCCAACUGUGCUGAAUGGCACCAAGUUUCUCCUGGUGUGCCCCAGCCUGGCCCAUCUUGUCUGACCUUGAGCUUUUGCCUUGUUUUUGAUACCAGGAGAUAGAAUUCAUGACUGCCCCUCAACAGGGUGGCUCUGUUCUACUUGGCAUAGUAUCUUUCAGUUUGCUCUCUCAAGGCUGUGUGGGUGGGUUAGAGUUACAAUCUGAAGCUUAAAUCAAGCUGUAGAAAGACCCUUCCUGAGAAUCAAAGGGCUCGCAUUUAAAUAUUGGUAUACGUGAUGUCAUGUCUACAGUUGCAGGUAAUAAAAUUUAUUUUUGUCCAGAUUUAUAUGUUUAAGAAGCCUAAUUUACAAAAUUAUAAAAACAGUUAAUAGCCUUCAGUCAAUAGAGGCACAAUUGUUUGCUGUGUUCAGUAUUUUGGUUGUUCUGCUUAUCAUGUUUGAGCAGGUCUGAGCUCUAACGCUGCCAUCCAUUACAACUACACAGACUUGUAGCUUUGAAGAUGCCUACAAUAUCCUUUGCCUCCCAUCCUAAAGCUCUGGAUUAAUGAAUAUACAGAGGACAUGAACAUCAGCCAGAUUUUCUAAGAAAGGUGGAAGAUAUUAGAGGCUUUUACUUGGCACAUCAUAUAUGCUUAAAAAAUUUGGGUUUUGAGAAAAUAAUCCUGAUGAGCGUGUUUGUCAUGUCUCUUCAAAUCAUACAAAAGCUUUUAUACCCUGUGGGCUUUCAAGCCUUUCUUUAUUAAAUACUCUGUAGCCUGUACUGAAGUAAUCUUCAACAUGAGGAUUUUGAGUGUAGUGAAAAUAAUUGCUUCUUAUAUGAUCCUGGUUUGUAACUGAAUAUAAAGUUAUGCUGGCACUACUGGUUUUGGUUCUUUUUUCUCCUUAGA